UACUAAGGGUGCAAGCGUUACUCGGAAUCACUGGGCGUAAAGCGUGCGUAGGCGGUUGAUUAAGUCUGCUGUGAAAGCCCUGGGCUCAACCUGGGAACUGCAGUGGAUACUGGUCAGCUAGAGUGUGAUAGAGGAUGGUGGAAUUCCCGGUGUAGCGGUGAAAUGCGUAGAGAUCGGGAGGAACACCAGUGGCGAAGGCGGCUAUCUGGAUCAACACUGACGCUGAGGCACGAAAGCGUGGGGAGCAAACAGG
rnacentral:rRNA from 1 species